CAGCCGCCGCGGUAAAACGUAGGUGGCAAGCGUUGUCCGGAAUUAUUGGGCGUAAAGGGCUCACAGGCGGUUCCUUAAGUCUGACGUGAAAGCCCCCGGCUCAACCGGGGAGGGUCAUUGGAAACUGGGAAACUUGAGUGCUGAAGAGGAGAGUGGAAUUCCACGUGUAGCGGUGAAAUGCGUAGAGAUGUGGAGGAACACCAGUGGCGAAGGCGACUCUCUGGUCUGUAACUGACGCUGAGGAGCGAAAGCGUGGGGAGCGAACAGGAUUAGAUACCCCUGUAGUCCCUGUCUCUUAUAC
rnacentral:rRNA from 1 species